AUUUUUUGUUUUAUUUUGGAUUCUUGACCGAAUUUGUUAUGUGCUUUCGCACCGAGUGGGAGUGCAGUCGCCAACAGCUCACAGCGACCUGCCUAAUGCUCAAUGGCGUAUUGAUGUAUAGUAUCUGUAUGUCGGUGCUCUAUUUCAAUAUUUGUAUGUACUGUGGCAUCUGGGCACAGAUCAUCAAUUUGGUACACUCUACAUUACAAUAUCCUGGGUGGAGGCAAUAUGCCUGUUUGUGCUGUUAGUGGACUUGAUUUGCAUUGGCUUCAAAUGGCGUAAUGUUCUGCUGGGUUUGAUGGUGGUGGUUUUCAUGAUUGGAUUAUUUCUAAUGGUCGCUGGCAGCAUUUCAAUUGCGAAAUACACCGAUGUUUACAUGGUUGUGCGUAGCUUCUACAGCGAUAGUUUGUGGUCCUAUGAGACAUCAUUCGAAUGCUGUGGCAUAAAUGGGCCUUCGGACUACGGCAACCCAACUGUAUUGGACGAUAUUCCACUCACCUGCUUUGAAGGUCGCGUCUCAAAACCUGAGCUACUCUAUAAUCGAGGAUGCAUCUAUGCAACGGAUGACAACUGGUUCUGGUUUGUCUUUGAGAAUUGCUAUUGGUUCGCCUUUAUUCUGUGCGGUGUUAACCUCGUCACUCACUGGAAACUCUGGCAGCGCAUUCAAUAUUAAUCUAUUUAAAUGAUUACUUGACCAUAACAACCAUACAACAGAAUUGGUUCAAUAGUUGUACUUUGGAGCAGCCCUAAAUUACAUAUUUAGUUACAAUAAGUCUUUGUCCAGCUAACCGCAUAUUGAAUUGCCGGCUCAAUUGCAGCACUGUGAAUGCUCGAAUUAUUUAGAAUGCGUUGACGACGCCCACGGCUCGACCACAAAAGCCAACAAAAACCCAUUAGCCAUUAACAACGGCGGCCCACAGCAUCCGCCAGGCGUUGGAUAACCACAAAAUAUCGCUGUCUCCACCACAACAACGGCAACAACAAAAGCAGCUGCAGCAGCAGCAACAACGGUGCAAAUGCCUUUUAAUUUGUCAAAGCCUAAAAUAUGAAAAUUAAAUGAGAAACCAAAGCAACGCAGCGCACAGUGGUGCAGUGGUGCAACGUGUGUGCAAGUUAUGGCAGAGAACAUUGCCAGAUAUGUUUUUAGAUAAAUAAUGAAACACAAGAAAUUGAUUUGGAGCAUUUUGAGAAGACCGAUAACAGACUACAGAUCAAGUA
rnacentral:misc_RNA from 1 species